AUGUACAUUCCUACAACAUAGCAUUAAUGCACUAGAUCCCAUUAGAACUUUGCAGUUAAGCACGCUCAGGAUAGAUUAGUAUUGGGAUGGAUGAUUGCUCGGUAAGUUCUAGUGUUUUACAUG
rnacentral:rRNA from 1 species